UACGGAGGGUGCGAGCGUUGUCCGGAAUCACUGGGCGUAAAGGGCGCGUAGGCGGCGCGGGUAGUCAUCGGUGAAAGUUCAGGGCUCAACUCUGAAUCGGCCGGUGAUACUCCCGUGCUCGAGCACUGUAGAGGCAGGUGGAAUUCCGGGGUGUAGCGGUGGAAUGCGUAGAGAUCCGGAAGAACACCGGUGGCGAAGGCGGCCUGACUGGGGCAGUGC
rnacentral:rRNA from 1 species